GACGAACGCUGGCGGCGUGCUUAACACAUGCAAGUCGAACGGAAAGGCCCUGCUUUUGUGGGGUGCUCGAGUGGCGAACGGGUGAGUAACACGUGAGUAACCUGCCCUUGACUUUGGGAUAACUUCAGGAAACUGGGGCUAACACCGGAUAGGAGCUCCUGCUGCAUGGUGGGGGUUGGAAAGUUUCGGCGGUUGGGGAUGGACUCGCGGCUUAUCAGCUUGUUGGUGGGGUAGUGGCUUACCAAGGCUUUGACGGGUAGCCGGCCUGAGAGGGUGACCGGCCACAUUGGGACUGAGAUACGGCCCAGACUCCUACGGGAGGCAGCAGUGGGGAAUAUUGCACAAUGGGCGGAAGCUUGAUGCAGCAACGCCGCGUGCGGGAUGACGGCCUUCGGGUUGUAAACCGCUUUCGCCUGUGACGAAGCGUGAGUGACGGUAAUGGGUAAAGAAGCACCGGCUAACUACGUG
rnacentral:rRNA from 1 species